AAAUUGAAGAGUUUGAUCAUGGCUCAGAUUGAACGCUGGCGGCAGGCCUAACACAUGCAAGUCGAACGGUAACAGGAAGCAGCUUGCUGCUUCGCUGACGAGUGGCGGACGGGUGAGUAAUGUCUGGGAAACUGCCUGAUGGAGGGGGAUAACUACUGGAAACGGUGGCUAAUACCGCAUAACGUCGCAAGACCAAAGAGGGGGACCUUCGGGCCUCUUGCCAUCAGAUGUGCCCAGAUGGGAUUAGCUUGUUGGUGAGGUAACGGCUCACCAAGGCGACGAUCCCUAGCUGGUCUGAGAGGAUGACCAGCCACACUGGAACUGAGACACGGUCCAGACUCCUACGGGAGGCAGCAGUGGGGAAUAUUGCACAAUGGGCGCAAGCCUGAUGCAGCCAUGCCGCGUGUAUGAAGAAGGCCUUCGGGUUGUAAAGUACUUUCAGCGGGGAGGAAGGUGUUGCGGUUAAUAACCGCAGCAAUUGACGUUACCCGCAGAAGAAGCACCGGCUAACUCCGUGCCAGCAGCCGCGGUAAUACGGAGGGUGCAAGCGUUAAUCGGAAUUACUGGGCGUAAAGCGCACGCAGGCGGUCUGUCAAGUCGGAUGUGAAAUCCCCGGGCUCAACCUGGGAACUGCAUUCGAAACUGGCAGGC
rnacentral:rRNA from 1 species